UACAGAGGGCGCGAGCGUUGUCCGGAAUCACUGGGCGUAAAGGGCGCGUAGGCGGGAUGGCAAGUCGGUCGUGAAAUCCCUCGGCUCAACUGAGGAUCGUCGAUCGAUACUGCCGUUCUUGAGGAUUGCAGAGGAGACUGGAAUUUACGGUGUAGCGGUGAAAUGCGUAGAUAUCGUAAGGGAAGACCAGUGGCGAAGGCGGGUCUCUGGACAGUUCCUGGACGCUGAGGCACGAAGGUCAGGGGGAGCAAAACGGGG
rnacentral:rRNA from 1 species